rnacentral:rRNA from 1 species
AAGAAAGUAAGAAAGGGCGUAUGGCGGAUGCCUAGGCUCACGGAGGCGAUGAAGGACGUGAUAAGCUGCGAUAAGCUUCGGGUAGGUGCAAAUAACCCUUGAUCCGAAGAUUUCCGAAUGGGACAACCUAGCCGUCUGAAGGACGGUUACU